rnacentral:tRNA from 1 species
GGGCAUGUGGCUUAGUGGUAGAGCGCUUGCCUAGCAUGCAUGAAGCCCUGGGUUCAAUUCCUCAGUACCA